rnacentral:rRNA from 1 species
UCGAGGGGCAGCAUGACUGUAGCAUACAGUUGAUGGCGACCGGCAAACGGGUGCGGAACACGUACAGAACCUUCCUUCGAGCGGGGAAUAGCCCAGAGAAAUUUGGAUUAAUACCCCAUAGCAUAACGGAGUGGCAUCACUCUGUUAUUAAAGAUUUAUCACUUGAAGAUGGCUGUGCGGCUGAUUAGGUAGUUGGCGGGGUAACGGCCCACCAAGCCUGCGAUCAGUAACUGGUGUGAGAGCACGGCCAGUCACACGGGCACUGAGACACGGGCCCGACUCCUACGGGAGGCAGCAGUAAGAAAUAUUGGUCAAUGGACGAAAGUCUGAACCAGCCAUGCCGCGUGGAGGAUGAAGGUCCUCUGGAUUGUAAACUUCUUUUAUAUGGGACGAAAAAAGGCUUUUCUAAGUCGUCUGACGGUACCAUAUGAAUAAGCACCGGCUAACUCCGUGCCAGCAGCCGCGGUAAUACGGAGGGUGCAAGCGUUAUCCGGAUUCACUGGGUUUAAAGGGUGCGUAGGUGGGUUGAUAAGUCAGUGGUGAAAUCUCCGAGCUUAACUUGGAAACUGCCAUUGAUACUAUCAGUCUUGAAUAUUGUGGAGGUUAGCGGAAUAUGUCAUGUAGCGGUGAAAUGCUUAGAUAUGACAUAGAACACCAAUUGCGAAGGCAGCUGGCUACACAUAUAUUGACACUGAGGCACGAAAGCGUGGGGUUCAAACAGGAUUAGAUACCCUGGUAGUCCACGCCCUAAACUAUGGAUACUCGACAUACGCGAUAAACUGUGUGUGUCUG